GAGUACCAGUACUGAGAUGAUGUGCAGGGGUACGAGGUAAUAACAUGGCUAUAAACAGGGAGUACCAGUACUGAGAUGAUGUGCAGGGGUACGAGGUAAUAACAUGGCUAUAAACAGGGAGUACCAGUACUGAGAUGAUGUGCAGGGGUACGAGGUAAUAACAUGGCUAUAAACAGGGAGUACCAGUACUGAGAUGAUGUGCAGGGGUACGAGGUAAUAACAUGGCUAUAAACAGGGAGUACCAGUACUGAGAUGAUGUGCAGGGGUACGAGGUAAUAACAUGGCUAUAAACAGGGAGUACCAGUACUGAGAUGAUGUGCAGGGGUACGAGGUAAUAACAUGGCUAUAAACAGGGAGUACCAGUACUGAGAUGAUGUGCAGGGGUACGAGGUAAUAACAUGGCUAUAAACAGGGAGUACCAGUACUGAGAUGAUGUGCAGGGGUACGAGGUAAUAACAUGGCUAUAAACAGGGAGUACCAGUACUGAGAUGAUGUGCAGGGGUACGAGGUAAUAACAUGGCUAUAAACAGGGAGUACCAGUACUGAGAUGAUGUGCAGGGGUACGAGGUAAUAACAUGGCUAUAAACAGGGAGUACCAGUACUGAGAUGAUGUGCAGGGGUACGAGGUAAUAACAUGGCUAUAAACAGGGAGUACCAGUACUGAGAUGAUGUGCAGGGGUACGAGGUAAUAACAUGGCUAUAAACAGGGAGUACCAGUACUGAGAUGAUGUGCAGGGGUACGAGGUAAUAACAUGGCUAUAAACAGGGAGUACCAGUACUGAGAUGAUGUGCAGGGGUACGAGGUAAUAACAUGGCUAUAAACAGGGAGUACCAGUACUGAGAUGAUGUGCAGGGGUACGAGGUAAUAACAUGGCUAUAAACAGGGAGUACCAGUACUGAGAUGAUGUGCAGGGGUACGAGGUAAUAACAUGGCUAUAAACAGGGAGUACCAGUACUGAGAUGAUGUGCAGGGGUACGAGGUAAUAACAUGGCUAUAAACAGGGAGUACCAGUACUGAGAUGAUGUGCAGGGGUACGAGGUAAUAACAUGGCUAUAAACAGGGAGUACCAGUACUGAGAUGAUGUGCAGGGGUACGAGGUAAUAACAUGGCUAUAAACAGGGAGUACCAGUACUGAGAUGAUGUGCAGGGGUACGAGGUAAUAACAUGGCUAUAAACAGGGAGUACCAGU